rnacentral:rRNA from 1 species
ACGACCGGCGCACGGGUGAGUAACGCGUAUACAAUUUACCUUUUACAGGAGAAUAGCCCAGAGAAAUUUGGAUUAAUGCUCCAUGGUAUUAUCGGGUCACAUGGUUUGAUAAUUAAAGUUCCGGCGGUAAAAGAUGAGUAUGCGUCCUAUUAGCUAGAUGGUAAGGUAACGGCUUACCAUGGCGACGAUAGGUAGGGGUCCUGAGAGGGAGAUCCCCCACACUGGUACUGAGACACGGACCAG